GCGUGUGCGCAUGUGCGCACGCAAAUGGCCGCCUCAGAUUUAACUGUAAGUGCUACAGUCGUUGACUUAACAGGUCAUCUACUACCACUGGGCUGUUUCCAGCUUUUCCCCGUGAGCAACAGAAAUGUGAUGAAUAUCCUUCACGCCAAAGGAAGCAGCAUUUUCAUUUGGCAGGCACGCAGCUCGGCAGUAUCCCUGACCUCCUGCAGAGUCCAGGUGAGAUCAAGGCAGCAAAACAAACCGGAGGGGCUUCACUGCACCACCACUGAAUAAAACCCAGCACCUUCGCAACCAGGAUGAGACAACGGUAGUGUCUCACCUCUUCAUGGUUGUGAGGAUUCGACCAGCCAGCACUUGCAAAACGCACAAAACUUACCUCCACGUAGUAAGCACCCAACACGUGCUAGUUCUUGCUGUGUUCGUUGUCAUAACCAUUAUCAUUCUUCCAGCCUAAUUUUUGCCUUCAUCUGCAAAGCCUUCUCUAAACACUCUAAUUCACAGAUACCUCUUUUAUGCCGAACGGGUAUCACCCUUAAUAAAUGCCACCUAUUUGGAUUUGUUGUCCAUUCUUCAUCAAUUAUUAAUAAACACACUUGAAGUCCUUGUCCAGAAUACACUGAAAAGAGCACAGCCUUUGCAAACCCAGGUGGGCUUUCUGGGUCUCGCUGCCUGGUCGCUGGACUCAGAGUGCAUCUUUUACAUUCUCCAAAUUCCAGUUGCCUCAAAUUGUGAGAAAGCCUUCCUCACAUAACAGCUCUGAGAGGAUUAAAUAAACCCAGGCUUCUUCAGCACCUGGCACGGUGCCCCGACACAAAGAAAGGACUCACUAAAUGUUUAUUGAAUUUUAAAAUAAUUAUGAUUGAUGGCCACUAGUAUCAUCGUUUUGAAUAUUAUCCCUGAAAGCCCUAAACUCAAACACUUCUUGGCACUGCAGGUUCUGAUAAUUUAUCCUUUCUAUUAAAACUGCUAGCUGGGAGCAGAGACAGUGAUGUUGCCCCCAUGUCCUUUCUGCAUGGGGGUUUAGGGGGUCUCCAUGUUCUUUCCAAAUGCCUGUAAGUUAAUCUGCCUCUUCAAGUGCAGGAGAAUGGGGCCCCAAGUCCUGCAUAGCACCCAGCCUUUCUAUCCCUGUGACCUUGAGCAAAUAAGAUCCUCUCUCUGAUAUGGGAUAUUUACCCUUCUUCUUUUUUUUUUUUAAAGACAUUGUUGUCCCUUUCAAAAGGAUAUUAGGAAAAUUACAAAUAGAUUAGCACAGAAAACUGCUUUAUAAACUCUAAAGCACUGUGCCAAAGAGACGCUUGUUUUUAUUCUGUAUAGAGACAGGACUAUUUUACUUUAUAAGUGUGUGUGGGAUUAGGGACCAUGAAUAUUUUUACACCUUUUCCAUAUGAUUGUUUUUGUAAACGCACAUUUUUGUAGUAGCAUACUAGAGGAAUGAUUUAUUAGUAAAUUCUGACCUGAUUUAAUGAAUACAUUCAUCUAUUCCGCAAACAUUGAGAGCGCUUCUGUAUAUUCAGGGCACCCUGCUCAGUGCUGAUGAGACGGAUAUAAAUAAGACAAGUUUUUCCACCCUUAAGAAUUAUAAGGUUUAACUUGAUAAGCUGAAAAAAAAAUGUCUUUUGUUAGUUUCAGUUUCUACACGUUAGAUUGCACCAUUUUUUGUUUUUAUUAAGAUAAGGUGACCGCCUGGGUUACUUCCUUACCCUGGCUGUGAAUAACAAAGUCUGUCAUGUCCCUCUCCUUCAGAAACAUCCCGUCACGGCAUGGCUUCAUUCCACACUUUUACGUGAGGCCGUAUUUGCGAACAGAACCUCCCCCAAUAGUUAUUCGUGUAAUUCUAUUAAUAUGAUCUCAAUCACCAUAUGGCGGUGUGAUAGCAAUUAUAUUGUAACCAGCCGACUUAGGAGAAAGGAGGCCGUCUUCCCAGCCAAAGGCUGCACCCUCAUUAUAAAGAUCCCCCAAAUAAUGGUUUCCCCACUGCCUCCUCCGUGAGAUGGAUUUUUCCCAAUUAUUUGAUCCGGAUAUGCUUGGUGGUACUCAAAAGACUAAGUGUUAGAAAGAGGUUGGAAUAUUUGUUUUCCUUUUUCUGUGGGAAAUGUACAAUGUUUGCAGUGCUGGUCUGUGCCUUGAUAAAUGCAAGGCUUGUACAGCAUUUUUUGUUGUUGUUAAUUAGGGUGGGUUGUGCACAGCUCAAUCUCUGUGGAAACAAAACAUAAAACUUAGCUUAAACCAACGCAAAGCACAUAUAUUUAUUUUUGAACUCCAAACGCAAGUAGUUCGUCUCAGUUAUAAAACUCCUGACAGUGGUGUAAAAACGUGUAACACGGCACACCACAUUCCUCUCUAGGACUCUGUGUAAAAGAACUUCCUUUUCUCCCCCCAAAGAAUUACAUUCGGCACCACAUGUCAAAACACAAUUGUAAUUGUGUAGCACAAUAUUUCAUAAACCUGAAAAUGUUUUAAAAACCCAUUGUAUUUCCGAAGCUUCCAAAGUCAUUUUCUGGGUUAGCAUUUUUUUUCUGUACUAAGCCUGCCUUUUUUUUUCUUUCUUUCU